ensembl:lncRNA
AAUGCUGUUAGUUUGAACACAGAGCAACAUUAACUCUUGUGUUGGGCGUGGUUGGUUUGUGUUGGGUGUGGUUGGUUUGUGUUGGGCGUGGUUGGUUUGUGUCGGGCGAGUUUGGUUUGUGUUGGGCGUGGUUGGUUUGUGUUGGGCGUGGUUGGUUUGUGUUGGGUGUGUUUGGUUUGUGUUGGGCGUGGUUGUUUUGUGUUGGGCGUGGUUGGUUUGUGUUGGGCGUGGUUGGUUUGCGUUGGGCGUGGUUGGUUUGAGUUUGGUUUGGUUGGUUUGCGUUGGUCGUGGUUGGUUUGCGUUGGUCGUGGUUGGUUUGCGUUGGUCGUGGUUGGUUUGUGUCGGGCGUGGUUUGUUUGUGUUGGGCUUGGUUGCUUUGUGUUGAGUGUGGUUGGUUUGUGUUGGGCGAGUUUGGUUUGUGUUGGGUGUGGUUGUUUUGUGUUGGGCGUGGUUGGUUUGUGUUGGGCGUGGUUGGUUUGUGUUGGGCGUGGUUGGUUUGCGUUGGGCGUGGUCGGUUUGCGUUGGUCGUGGUUGUUUUGUGUUGGUCGUGGUUGUUUUGUGUUGGGCGUGGUUGUUUUGUGUUGGACGUGGUUGGUUUAUGUUGGGCGUGGUUGGUUUGUGUUGGGCGUGGUUGGUUUGUGUUAGGCGUGGUUGGUUUGUGUUGGGCGUGGUUGGUUUGUGUUGGGCUUGGUUGGUUUGUGUUGGGCGUGGUUGUUUUGUGUUGGGCGUGAUUGGUUUAUGU